rnacentral:siRNA from 1 species
UUUCAUGGGUUUAAUUUUGUCUU